rnacentral:rRNA from 1 species
UGUUUCGGCUAGGGGGCCAUCCCGGCUUACCAACCCGAUGCAAACUGCGAAUACCGGAGAAUGUUAUCACGGGAGACACACGGCGGGUGCUAACGUCCGUCGUGAAGAGGGAAACAACCCAGACCGCCAGCUAAGGUCCCAAAGUCAUGGUUAAGUGGGAAACGAUGUGGGAAGGCCCAGACAGCCAGGAUGUUGGCUUAGAAGCAGCCAUCAUUUAAAGAAAGCGUAAUAGCUCACUGGUCGAGUCGGCCUGCGCGGAAGAUGUAACGGGGCUAAACCAUGCACCGAAGCUGCGGCAGCGACGCUGAUGCGUUGUUGGGUAGGGGAGCGUUCUGUAAGCCUGUGAAGGUGGCCUGUGAGGGUUGCUGGAGGUAUCAGAAGUGCGAAUGCUGACAUAAGUAACGAUAAAGCGGGUGAAAAGCCCGCUCGCCGGAAGACCAAGGGUUCCUGUCCAACGUUAAUCGGGGCAGGGUGAGUCGACCCCUAAGGCGAGGCCGAAAGGCGUAGUCGAUGGGAAACGGGUUAAUAUUCCCGUACUUGGUGUUACUGCGAAGGGGGGACGGAGAAGGCUAUGUUGGCCGGGCGACGGUUGUCCCGGUUUAAGCGUGUAGGCUGGUUUUCCAGGCAAAUCCGGAAAAUCAAGGCUGAGGCGUGAUGACGAGGCACUACGGUGCUGAAGCAACAAAUGCCCUGCUUCCAGGAAAAGCCUCUAAGCAUCAGGUAACAUCAAAUCGUACCCCAAACCGACACAGGUGGUCAGGUAGAGAAUACCAAGGCGCUUGAGAGAACUCGGGUGAAGGAACUAGGCAAAAUGGUGCCGUAACUUCGGGAGAAGGCACGCUGACAUGUAGGUGAAGUGAUUUACUCAUGGAGCUGAAGUCAGUCGAAGAUACCAGCUGGCUGCAACUGUUUAUUAAAAACACAGCACUGUGCAAACACGAAAGUGGACGUAUACGGUGUGACGCCUGCCCGGUGCCGGAAGGUUAAUUGAUGGGGUCAGCGCAAGCGAAGCUCCUGAUCGAAGCCCCGGUAAACGGCGGCCGUAACUAUAACGGUCCUAAGGUAGCGAAAUUCCUUGUCGGGUAAGUUCCGACCUGCACGAAUGGCGUAAUGAUGGCCAGGCUGUCUCCACCCGAGACUCAGUGAAAUUGAACUCGCUGUGAAGAUGCAGUGUACCCGCGGCAAGACGGAAAGACCCCGUGAACCUUUACUAUAGCUUGACACUGAACAUUGAGCCUUGAUGUGUAGGAUAGGUGGGAGGCUUUGAAGCGUGGACGCCAGUCUGCGUGGAGCCAACCUUGAAAUACCACCCUUUAAUGUUUGAUGUUCUAACGUGGACCCGUAAUCCGGGUUGCGGACAGUGUCUGGUGGGUAGUUUGACUGGGGCGGUCUCCUCCUAAAGAGUAACGGAGGAGCACGAAGGUUGGCUAAUCCUGGUCGGACAUCAGGAGGUUAGUGCAAUGGCAUAAGCCAGCUUGACUGCGAGCGUGACGGCGCGAGCAGGUGCGAAAGCAGGUCAUAGUGAUCCGGUGGUUCUGAAUGGAAGGGCCAUCGCUCAACGGAUAAAAGGUACUCCGGGGAUAACAGGCUGAUACCGCCCAAGAGUUCAUAUCGACGGCGGUGUUUGGCACCUCGAUGUCGGCUCAUCACAUCCUGGGGCUGAAGUAGGUCCCAAGGGUAUGGCUGUUCGCCAUUUAAAGUGGUACGCGAGCUGGGUUUAGAACGUCGUGAGACAGUUCGGUCCCUAUCUGCCGUGGGCGCUGGAGAACUGAGGGGGGCUGCUCCUAGUACGAGAGGACCGGAGUGGACGCAUCACUGGUGUUCGGGUUGUCAUGCCAAUGGCACUGCCCGGUAGCUAAAUGCGGAAGAGAUAAGUGCUGAAAGCAUCUAAGCACGAAACUUGCCCCGAGAUGAGUUCUCCCUGAGACUUAGAGUCUCCUGAAGGAACGUUGAAGACGACGACGUUGAUAGGCCGGGUGUGUAAGCGCAGCGAUGCGUUGAGCUAACCGGUACUAAUGAACCGUGAGGCUUAACCUUACAACGCCGAAG